rnacentral:rRNA from 1 species
GACGAACGCUGGCGGCGUGCCUAACACAUGCAAGUCGAACGAAGCUUUUGAUUUAGGUUGAGAGCUUAGUGGCGGACGGGUGAGUAACGCGUGAGUAACCUGCCUUACAGAGGGGGAUAACGUCCUGAAAAGGACGCUAAUACCGCAUGACAUAUCGAGGCCGCAUGGCCGUGAUAUCAAAGGAGCAAUCCGCUGGAAGAUGGACUCGCGUCCGAUUAGCCAGUUGGCGGGGCAACGGCCCACCAAAGCGACGAUCGGUAGCCGGGUUGAGAGACUGAACGGCCACAUUGGGACUGAGACACGGCCCAGACUCCUACGGGAGGCAGCAGUGGGGGAUAUUGCACAAUGGAGGAAACUCUGAUGCAGCAAUGCCGCGUGAGGGAAGACGGUUUUCGGAUUGUAAACCUCUGUCCUUGGUGACGAUAAUGACGGUAGCCGAGGAGGAAGCUCCGGCUAACUACGUGCCAGCAGCCGCGGUAAUACGUAGGGAGCGAGCGUUGUCCGGAUUUACUGGGUGUAAAGGGUGCGUAGGCGGCUCUGUAAGUCGGGCGUGAAAGGUGUGGGCUUAACUCACAAACUGCGUUCGAAACUGUGGAGCUUGAGUGAAGCAGAGGCAGGCGGAAUUCCCGGUGUAGCGGUGAAAUGCGUAGAGAUCGGGAGGAACACCAGUGGCGAAGGCGGCCUGCUGGGC